GAAGAGGAGUGCAUGGUUUCCGGCAUUUGGCUGGGCCUUUGUCUCUCGCUCCCACCAGAGCUUGGAAUCCGUCUCUGCUCUUCUGCAUUCUCCACCUCGGGAGCCCCUGGGGACUCUGUGACGGCCUCUGUUGCCCUGUGAUCUGCAGGUCCGGAGAGACGCACAGCUAAGAUGUCAGGACAUCCUGGAAGCUGGGAAAGGGUCUUGCCAUCUCUAAGCUGGACCUGGUGACCUUUUUGGAGGGAAAGAAAGAGCCCUGGACUGUGAAGAGUGAGGAGACCAUAGCUGCACAGCCAGUCCAGAUGUAUAAUCUCAUCCCUGAACAUUUCUGAUGGUGUGAUUAUGACAUGUGACUUUAUCUGGCAACAGAGUGAGUUGUUGCUCCCGCCUGAGCCCAGCCCCCAGAAAGGAUUGUGACAUAUCGUUGGACCCAGAAUUGAGGUGCAGUUUUGACACACUUCUGUCUAGCAGCUGAGUAUUGUGAUCUUCAGAACUGGCCCAGCCUACAAAUAGGAUUGUGCCACACUGCUGGACCCAGCACCUAGAUGAUGUAACUAUUCUCCUGCCUUGGUGCUACUCAAAAAAGACAUUAACAUAUCUCAGAGCCUUGCACCCAGAAGGCAUUGAGACAUGGCUGGGCUCAGCACUAAGAAGAUGUGAGUCCUCUGCCUGAAGCCUGACCACAGGGAGCAUUGUGACACAUUUCUUGACCCAUUACAAUCUCUUCUACGGGCAAAGCUGAGGUGGAAUUGUGACAUAUAACUUGGCCAAGCACACAGAUGUAAUGGUGUGGUGACUCUCAUACCUAGAACUGGGACCUGUGCAGGAUUGUUAAUUCAUUACUGGACAUUCCUGUGGGUGUGAUUGUUACAUAUGCCUAUGUUCAGCACCCGAGUGAUUUGAUUUUGCUGCCUGGUCUCAGUCCAAAUGUAAGAUUGUGAUUUAUCGCUGAAUCCAGCACCUCGGUGAUUUGACUCUCCCUUUUUUUGUGGGAGGGAUCCUGCAAAUUUUGGGUAUUGUCAAUUAUUGCUGAAUCCUGUACCCAUGUUAUGACUCUCCCAAAUGUGCCUUACCUGUUGUGGCACAAUAUAUCACAUUAGACAUUGUUAAAUAUUGUUGGGUUCAACACCUGGGUGAUGGAUGUAACUUUUUUUCUGGGCCUGCCUACAGGGGACCUUGUGACAUAACUCAAUGCCCAUCAUCAUGGUAAUGUUACUCUCUUCUCCUGCCUGAUCUCUGCUCACAGAGAAAUUGUGACACAUCACUGGCCUAGCAUCUAGGUGAUGUGACUCUCCUCUUUUUUUCAGGCUCUGCAUAUUUGGGUAUUGUGACAUAUUGCUGAACUCAACACCUAAGGGAUGGGAGUCUCCUACCUAGGCCCUUCCUACAGGGGACAUUGUGACAUGUCUCUGCAUUCCUCAUCCAGGAGAUGUGACUCUCCUUUUCUGCCUACACCCUGCCUACACAGAAAGUUGUGGCAUAUUGCUGUGGUCAGCAACCAGAUGAUAUAUUUCUCCUGCCUGGGUCUUUAUUACAGGAAAGAUGAUUGACAUAUUACUGGGCCCAGCAUCCAGAUGAUGUGACUCUCUUCUUCUGUUGGUCCUUGCUUACAGGGAAACUGUAGCAUAUUGCUACACCCAACACCUAGCUUAUGUGAUUCUUCUUUUAGGUUUGCCUUCAGGGAACAUUGUGACAUAUUGCUGGGCCCUGCACUGAUAAUUUGUGACUCUUCUGCCUGUGAUUUGCCCACUUGGGGCAUUGUGACAUAUUGCUGGGUUUAACACUCAGGUGAUGUAACUUUUAUGCCUAGGCCUUGCUUACAGGAGGCAUUUUGAAAUGUCUUUGUGGCUGGGCAUGGUGGCUCAUGUCUGUAAUCCCAGCGCUUGGGGAGGCCAAGGUGGGCAGAUCACAAAGUCAGGAGUUCGAGACCAGCCUGGUCAACAUGGUGAAAACCUGUCUCUACUAAAACAAAACAAAACAAAACAAAACAAAACAAAACAAAACAAAACAAAACAAAUAAAACCACAAAAAUCAGCCAGGUGUGGUGAUUGGUGCCUGUAGUUGCAGCUACUCAGGAGGCUGAGGCAGGAUAAUCGCUUAAGUCCAGGAGGUGGAGGUUGCAGUGAGCUGAGAUUGCACCACUGCACUCCAUCCUGGGCAACAGAGUGAGACUCCAUCUCCAAAAAAAAUAAAAUAAAAUAAAAUAAAAAUAC
ensembl:lncRNA novel transcript